UACGAAGGGGGCUAGCGUUGCUCGGAAUUACUGGGCGUAAAGCGCACGUAGGCGGUUUCUUAAGUCAGGGGUGAAAUCCUGGAGCUCAACUCCAGAACUGCCUUUGAUACUGAAGAUCUUGAGUUCGGGAGAGGUGAGUGGAACUGCGAGUGUAGAGGUGAAAUUCGUAGAUAUUCGCAAGAACACCAGUGGCGAAGGCGGCUCACUGGCCCGAUACUGACGCUGAGGCACGAAAGCGUGGGGAGCAAACAGG
rnacentral:rRNA from 1 species